rnacentral:rRNA from 1 species
AACGUAGGACGCAAGCGUUAUCCGGAUUUACUGGGCGUAAAGCGCGGGCAGGCGGUCUUGCCAUUCUGAUGUGAAAUCUCUCAGCUCAACUGGGAGCAGCCAUUGGAAACUACAAGACUGGAGUCUGACAGAGGUAGGCGGAAUUCCGGGUGGAGUGGUGAAAUGCGUAGAGAUCCGGAGGAACACCAGAGGCGAAGGCGGCCUACUGGGUCAGUACUGACGCUGAGACGCGAAAGCCAGGGGAGCGAACGGG